GACCUGGUGGCAUAACUGGUAAUGCGCACAUUUACGGUAGGAAGGGUGACCCAUAAUCUUUAAAUGCGAGACCCUUGUUCAAUUCGAAGUCAGGUUG